AAAAAAUGAAAAAUAAAGCUACAAUAUUAUCCAGCAAUCCCAUUGCUAGGUAUGUACAUAAAAGAAAGGAAAUCAGGACAUCAGAGAGAUAUUUGAAGCUCCAUUUUCACUGCAGCAGUGUUCACAUUAGCCAAAAUUUAGAAGCAACCUAAGUGUCCCUUACAUGAAUGGACAAAGUAAAUGUGGUGCACAUACAUAACAGAGUACUUUUCAAUCAUAAAAAAGAACAAGAUCCCAUCAUCUUCAACAACAUGGAUGGAACUAGAGGUCAUUAUGUUAAGAAAAAUAAGCCAAGCACAUGAAGGCAAACGUUGCAUGUUCUCACACAUUUGCUGGAGCUAAAAUUAAACUAAUUCAUAGAGACAGAGAGCAGAAGGAUUGUUACCAGAGGCUGGAAAGUGUAGCAGGGGACUGGGGGAAGUGGGGAAGAUUAAUGGGUAGAAAAAUAAUUAGAAAGAGUAAGAUGUAGCAGUUGCUAGUACACAGAGUGACUAUAGUCAAAAGCAAUUUAAUUGUACAUUUUUAAAUAACUAAAAGAAUGUAGUUAGGUUGUCUGUAAAACAAAGAAUAAACACUUGAGGUAAUGAAUACCCAUUUACCCUGAUAUGAUUUUUAUGCAUUUCAUGCCUACAUCAAAAUAUCUCAUGUAACCCAUAGAUACAAAAAGCUACUGUGUACUCAUAAAAAUUUAAAAUCCUGAACCAUAUACAAAAACUAUCUUGAAUAAAUUAAAUAUUUAAAUGUAAGAAGCAUAACUCUACAAUUUUUGGAAGAAAAUACAGGAAGAAAGAUUAUGACAUUGGUCUUGGCAAUGUUUUCUUGCAUAUAGCAUCAACUACAUGAGUAACAAAUUUAAAAACACAGAAAAAUGGACUACAUUAAAUUUAUCUCUGAACAUUAAAAUAAACAUUUAGUCAGUCCCGAGUAAGAAAAAAAAAAGUAAAAAGUAUACAUUUGACAGAAGUUAACACCCAGAAUAAACUCCAAAAAGUCAACAAAGAGUAAGUAAUAUGAUUAACAAAUGAACAGGAGGUGAAAAUGUUUCUCCAAAGAAUAAAUACACACAGCAAACAAUUAUUGAAAAAAUUUUUAAUCUUUAGAAAAAUGUAAAGCAAAACCACAAUGAGGUAUUAUCGUGUAUUAAUUGGAAUGGCCAAUAUCAAGCAAACAAAAAAUAACAAAUGUCAACAAUGUAGAUGAAUUGAAACCCUUGUGCACUGCUGGUGGGAAGAAAGUGAUGCAGCCCCUAAAAAAUGUAUAGGGGUUCCUCCAAAAAAAAAAUGAAGUUAUUCUAUGACCCACUAAUUCUACUUCUGAGCAUCCUAUUCAAAAUAUGCAAAGUAUAUCUGACAGAAAUAUUUGCACAUCCAUGUUUACUGCAGCAAUAUUCACUGUAUUAGUUUAUUCUUGCAUUGCUAUAAAUACCUGAGACUAGGUAAUUUUUUUUUUUAGAAAAAGGUUUAAUUGGCUCGUGGUUCUGCAGGCUGUACAGGAAGCAUAGCAGCUUCUGUUUCUAGAGAGGCCUCAAAAAGCUUCCAAUUAUGGUAGAAAGCAAACAAAGAGUGAGUCACCUCACAUAGUGGGAGCAGGAGCAAGAGACAGUGAAAGGAGAGGUGCCACAUGCUUUUAAAAAAUGAGAUCUCAGGAGAACAAACUCACUAUGCCAAAGACAGUACCAAAGGGGAUGGUGUUAACCAUUCAUGAGAAGCCAACCCUACCAUCCCAUCACCUCCCACCAGGCCCACCUCCAACACUAGGGACUGCAACUUGACAUGAGAUUUGAAUGGGGACCCAGAUCCAAACUAUAUCACUUACAAAAGCCAAAAAGUGAAAAAACUCAAACACCCUUCAAUAGAUGAAUGAUUUAAAAAGAUGUGGCUUAUACAUACAAUGAAAUAUUCCUUAGCUUCAAAUGAAAAUAUCUUGUCAGAUGCUACAAUAAGGAUAAAUCUUAAAGCCAUUAUUUUAAGUGAAAUAAGAUACUAAUAAAGUGACAGUGUAUGAUUCCACUUAGGUAAGAUAUCUUAAGUAGUAAACUCACAGAAAACACAAGUAGAAAGGUGCUUGCCUUUGGCUAGGGUUGUGAAACCUCAGUGGAGCCAAAGAUCAAGUAGGGAUAUUUGGAAAAAGCAGGGCCUCACCCAGGUGGCCAACUCAAGAGCCCAUAGACAUGGCUGCAGAUAAAACAUGGCACACUAAGCUUGGUCUUACUAAGGAUGCUGAAGCAGUUCUGCAACCUGUCUCAAACUCCUCUCAGCUACAGUACACAAGUGGUCCUUCCUAUCAAGAGACCUGCAAGGAGACACACCCAGCCAUGGACCUGGAGGCAGCUUCUAUCUUAACAUAUUACUAAAAAUUUGUAUGAGAACAAUUAGGCAAGGAAAAGGAAAACGAAGCUCUCCAGCUUUGGGAAAGAAAUAAAAACAUUACUGUCUGUAGAUUAUAUAAUCAUGCACAUAUAUAUAACUCUAGAGUAAAUGAACAAAAACUCAAUAAAUGCAUUCAUUAAAGCAUCAGGAUACAUAAUCUUGUGAAAGGAAAAUAAAUCUUGGAACUCUUGGGGCCCCCAAAAUCACUAAGCUAAACCGUCAAGCUGGGUACUGCCUAGGGCAAACCUGCCUCCCAUUCUAUUCAAAGUCAUCCCUCUGCUCACUGAGAUAAAGGGACAUCUGAUUGCCUCCUUUGGACAGACAAAUCAGAAACUCAAAAGAAUGCAGCAGUUUGUCUCUCAUGUACCUGUGACCUAGAAACACUAUCCCUGCUUAAGCUGUCCUGCCUUUCAAGAUGGAACCAAUGUACAUCUUACACAUAUUGAUUUAUGUCUCAUGUCUCCUUAAAAUGUAUAAAACCAAGCUGUGCCCAAACCACCUUGGGCACACGUCAUCAAGACUUCCUAAGGCUGUGUCAGGGGCACGUGUCCUAAACCUUGACAAAAUAAACUUUUUUUUUUUUUUUUUUAAGA
rnacentral:lncRNA from 1 species